UCUCCCCUUAACCAAAAUCUGUGGCCUAACCGCCCCAGCCCAAAACCCCACUGACCCAGCCCAAUCAUCUGUAAAACUCAAUCCCUAGAACUAAACUUCAUACUCUAACAGCCCUAACCAAACGAUCCCGACACUCCUCUUCCACCAAACAAGAACUAACACUCCUCUCCUCUCUCUCUUCCACCUCGCCGCCACCCCCCUUUACCCAUCAGACCAUCGGGUAAAGCCGAUUUUGGCGUCACUGACGCCGCCUCCCGUCAACCCCUGUCCCUUUCUCCCAUUUUCUUCAAGUGACAGAGCUUCGAACAGCUCAUCCAAAGUCGAAUCAGCCCCCAAAUCAAAAAGCACGCGAACAUCUUUGGGAUUCUAGACCGUUCUUCCAACAAUCCAUAGGGUAAAGACUCGGUUUGAGUUUAUUGGAGCAUAAAACCAUGGAGAAUCCAAUAAAUUCGGAGUCCCAACGAAUUUGUAGCUUUCAAAUCCAUAUGAAAAGCCUUGGGAGCAUUUGGAGUUAUGGCAACUCCGGAUUCUGCCCAUAUCAGAGAACAGCCAGUAGCAGAUUUAAUUGCUUGUGUCUAGCCGUCCCCUACUUUCGCGUCUCGAGUUUCCGCUCUUCCUUUAUUCAAAAUUUUAAGCCUUCAUAUUGUUUGAUAACAUGCUAUUUAUAUUAUUUGACUAACACUCUUGUGAAUUUGUAUUUUUUGUAGUUUUGUUUUGAACUCGUAACUUGACUUAAGUAUGUUAGUAAGUUUAGUCAUUAUA